rnacentral:rRNA from 1 species
AGUGAACGCUGGCGGUAGGCCUAAUACAUGCAAGUCGAACGGCAGCACAGUAAGAGCUUGCUUCUACGGGUGGCGAGUGGCGGAUGGGUGAGGAAUACAUCGGAUUCUUCUUUUUCGUGGGGGACAACGUAGGAAAACUUAUGAUACCAGCGCAUAUGAUGUACGGGUGAAUGCAGAGGAUAUUCAGUCCUUGCGCGUCUGUAUGAGCCGAUGUCGGAUUGGCUUGUUGGCGGGGUAAAGGCGCACCAAGGCGACGAUACGUAGUUGGUCUGAGAGGAUGAUCCGCCACACUGGAACUGAGACACGGUCCAGACUCCUACGGGAGGCAGCAGUAGGGAAUAUUGGGCAAUGGGCGAAAGCCUGAUCGAGCCAUACCGCGUGGGUGAGGAAGGCCUUCGGGUUGUAAAGCCCUGUUGUUGGGAAAGAAAGGCUGCAGAUUAAUACCCCGAUGUUCUGACGGUACCCAAUGAAUAAGCACCGGCUAACUUCGUG